rnacentral:snoRNA from 1 species
UGAUAGUGAUGAGGACAACUCCUGAGCAUGCCCUUGAAUCUCUCCCAAGCUUGGUAGAGUUUUUCUCCAUCUUUUUGUCUGAAAUUUAAUAUCUCACUCCUCAAUCA